GAUGAACGCUGGCGGCGUGCCUAAUACAUGCAAGUCGAGCGAACAGACGAGGAGCUUGCUCCUCUUACGUUAGCGGCGGACGGGUGAGUAACACGUGGAUAACCUACCUAUAAGACUGGGAUAACUUCGGGAAACCGGAGCUAAUACCGGAUAAUAUAUUGAACCGCAUGGUUCAAUAGUGAAAGACGGUUUUGCUGUAACUUAUAGAUGGAUCCGCGCCGCAUUAGCUAGUUGGUAAGGUAACGGCUUACCAAGGCAACGAUGCGUAGCCGACCUGAGAGGGUGAUCGGCCACACUGGAACUGAGACACGGUCCAGACUCCUACGGGAGGCAGCAGUAGGGAAUCUUCCGCAAUGGGCGAAAGCCUGACGGAGCAACGCCGCGUGAGUGAUGAAGGUCUUCGGAUCGUAAAACUCUGUUAUUAGGGAAGAACAAAUGUGUAAGUAACUAUGCACGUCUUGACGGUACCUAAUCAGAAAGCCACGGCUAACUACGUG
rnacentral:rRNA from 1 species